rnacentral:rRNA from 1 species
GAUGAACGCUGGCGGCGUGCCUAAUACAUGCAAGUCGAGCGAACAGAUAAGGAGCUUGCUCCUUUGACGUUAGCGGCGGACGGGUGAGUAACACGUGGGUAACCUACCUAUAAGACUGGAAUAACUCCGGGAAACCGGGGCUAAUGCCGGAUAACAUUUAGAACCGCAUGGUUCUAAAGUGAAAGAUGGUUUUGCUAUCACUUAUAGAUGGACCCGCGCCGUAUUAGCUAGUUGGUAAGGUAACGGCUUACCAAGGCAACGAUACGUAGCCGACCUGAGAGGGUGAUCGGCCACACUGGAACUGAGACACGGUCCAGACUCCUACGGGAGGCAGCAGUAGGGAAUAUUCCGCAAUGGGCGAAAGCCUGACGGAGCAACACCGCGUGAGUGAUGAAGGUCUUCGGAUCGUAAAACUCUGUUAUUAGGGAAGAACAAAUGUGUAAGUAACUGUGCACGUCUUGACGGUACCUAAUCAGAAAGCCCCGGCUAACUACGUG